ensembl:snoRNA
UGGCCCAAUGAUGAUCAAAAGAUGCGCUUAGAGAGAACAGGACUAACAUUUCAAGGUCCAGGCAUUUCUGUGCUUUUACUUCUCCUAUCCUUUUUUCUUCUUUCCUUCAAUCUUUUUUCUUUAACUUUGUUUUCCUGCCUAGACUGAAAUUGUGUGUCCUUCUCAAUGACGGGUAAGAUUAUGAGAUCUGAGGGCUA